rnacentral:rRNA from 1 species
AUGGCCUUUAAGACUCUGCAAGCUCCACCAAGUUUGGCAAGGCCAGACAGUUGCGGUUUCAGUCCCUCCAACUCCAAGUCUUAUUGUUAUCAGCCAAAACCUCACUCAAGACCGCAAGCAAGAAUCACCACCAAGAAUCGCCUUCAGAGUUCACCAGUCCUGAAAUGCGGCCGCGUCGACGAGGUUGUCCAGUCCCAUCAGGAUCAUCAGACUACUGAGAUCCCCAUACUCCUGCACCAGUCGGUCGUUUUCCCUGGCCAGAAGCUGCAGCUGCAGACGGUUGAGUUCAGAUACCGCAUCAUGAUGCAGACACUCCUACUCCAGGAAGGCCACAGCUUUGGUAUUAUCUACUCCAGCAGUAAAGAUAGUAGGAUGGCCGAUGUUGGAUGCAUGGUCCAUAUUGUUCAGUGCGAUAAGCUCGUCAAUGACCGCUUCUUCGUGACGUGCGUCGGCGGUGAUCGGUUCCGUGUCCUGGAGGUCGUCAGAACAAAGCCCUAUGUCAUCGCAAGAGUCCAGGUACUGAAAGACAGAGACUCGCCUGAUUCAAGUAACCUGGGGUGCCUGAUGCAGCAGGUGGAGGGGCACCUGAAGGACGUGACAAUGCUUUCAGACAAGCUCAGCUGGAAACUAAUGGGAGACCAGGCUAGGCAGCUCAGCAGGAUGCAUUCUCCAGAGUCUUUCUCCUUAGUCGUCGCUCGGUUGUUUGUCGAAGAUCGUUCAGAGCAGCAAUGGUUGCUUGGGUUAGAUGACACAGCACAUCGAUUGGUGAGAGAAGGAAUGUAUCUUCAACAGAGGAGCAAGUACCUGGCAGCCGUAGCAGCGAUUAGGGACGCCUUUGGGCAACUGUCCUGCAAUGAGAAGCAGUAG